AGUCCUGUAGCUCAGAGGUUAGAGCACUUGCCUAGCAAGCAAGAGGACCUGGGUUCGAUCCCCGGGCAGAACGG